rnacentral:rRNA from 1 species
AGAGUUUGAUUCUGGCUCAGGAUGAACGCUGGCGGCGUGCUUAACACAUGCAAGUCGAACGGGAUUAUUGGAAGCUUGCUUUGAAUAAUCUAGUGGCGGAACGGGUGAGUAACGCGUGGGUAACCUGCCGUAUGCUGGGGGACAACAGUUGGAAACGACUGCUAAUACCGCAUAAGCGCACAGGGCCGCAUGGCCCAGUGUGAAAAACUCCGGUGGCAUACGAUGGACCCGCGUCUGAUUAGGCAGUUGGCGAGGUAACGGCUCACCAAACCGACGAUCAGUAGCCGGCCUGAGAGGGUGAACGGCCACAUUGGGACUGAGACACGGCCCAAACUCCUACGGGAGGCAGCAGUGGGGAAUAUUGCACAAUGGGGGAAACCCUGAUGCAGCGACGCCGCGUGAGUGAAGAAGUAUUUCGGUAUGUAAAGCUCUAUCAGCAGGAAAGAAAAUGACGGUACCUGACUAAGAAGCCCCGGCUAACUACGUGCCAGCCGCCGC